rnacentral:rRNA from 1 species
UCCUACGGGAGGCAGCAGUAGGGAAUCUUCCACAAUGGACGAAAGUCUGAUGGAGCAACGCCGCGUGAGUGAAGAAGGAUUUCGGUUCGUAAAACUCUGUUGCAAGGGAAGAACAAGUAGCGUAGUAACUGGCGCUACCUUGACGGUACCUUGUUAGAAAGCCACGGCUAACUACGUGCCAGCAGCCGCGGUAAU